GAAGGACGUAGUAGCUUGCGAUAAGCUGCGGGGAGCUAGCAAACAAGCUUUGAUCCGCAGAUUUCCGAAUGGGGAAACCCGGCCUUUUAGGUCAUUGCAUACUGAAUACAUAGGUAUGCAAAGCGAACGCGGCGAACUGAAACAUCUAAGUAGCUGCAGGAAAAUAAAUCAACCGAGAUUCCCAAAGUAGUGGCGAGCGAAAUGGGAUGAGCCUG
rnacentral:rRNA from 1 species